rnacentral:rRNA from 1 species
UGGCCUUGACAUCCUAAGAAUCCUAUAGAGAUAUGGGAGUGCUUGCUUGCAAGAACUUAGUGAC